UCAAUGGUCCCAAGGCAUGGCUUACCAAAGGGGGGCAGAACUUAAGAGAUUAAGAAUGAGUGUAAAGGUGAAGGAUUAGAGGAUAACCAAUGCAAAGGUGGUCAUACCUAGCCAUGAAGGGGACUGGCACACCCCUUGCCCUUUACAUGGUUCAAAAAGUAAGAGCAGACUUGAAAUAAGUUAUACUUAGGCAUGUAUGGUGAUUAGGGCACCAACAGACUUGAGUCAAAGAUCAACACAUAAUGGGGGAAUAAGGGAGUGGGAUUACUUUGAGUAUAGGUUGAGAACAACCUGGUUCUAAUCUAGAAGUGACAAUAGGGUACCACUCUAGUCCAAAACAACACUCAAAUACAAAAAGGGGUAGGGGAAAGAGAUAAAAUAUGAAAGCAUUUGCAUAAAACAGAACAUAGUUAAUCAGAAAGGGGUUUGGGGAAAGCGAUGUGCAGGAAGAUAACAAAUACCAAACAUAACAGAAUUAAACAUAUGGGAAUAUGGUGUAGGAAUGUAACAUGCUAAAAUUCAAUUGCAUGAUGUAAGGGAAUAGAGCAUAAACAGAUAUAUGAAAGGAAUAAAUAAACACAUAGUUUAGAGGUGGUAUUUAAACAUGGAACCUACCAGUUGCAAGUUUCAAACAUCAAUACAAACAGAACAAGAAGGAUCUUAUGGUUAGCCUUGGCUUUCAGCCGGCUAACACAAGCAGCACACUUAGUAACAGAGAAGAGCAGAGAAAAAGAGAGUGUAUAGUAUGAACUUGUGAAAAUUGUUCGUGUUUGUGUGUGUCGUUUGAAGAGGAGGAGUAGGGAAUUUAUAGUUUGAAAACAAGUGAUAAGUAAGGCAAAAUAUAAUUCAAUACCAAUCAAAAUCAAUUAUAAGAGGGGAGUUCCUUUGAUUAAGGAAUUCGAAUUUAAAUAGGAGAGGGCAGGGUCAUAGUUAAGGAAAGAAAAUUAGUAACACAUGGAGCAAUAUAGAGUAAAUAUAUAGGAGAAGCUUAUAAAAAUACACUGUUAGAUAAAUAAGGUAAAGGUAAAAUCAAUUAAUCACGUAGUAAAUCAAGAAUCAGGGAUUCGAACUCAGUA
rnacentral:lncRNA from 1 species